UUCUCCCCAUUACAGCAAAGAAAGCUAGGGAUUGAGUUUCAAAAUUGUAAAAUUACUAAAUGGAACACGUUAAAAAACAGUUCAGCAAAAAACAAUUGCAUAGUAUUUGCUUUUUAUCUCCCUUGAAUUCAUUUUGUGUGUCAUGAUGAAUGCCUCUUCAACUUUCUAUGUGUGUACCCAACCAUCAAAUUUAAAAUUAAAAACCAAUGGAUAAUGGUCCGACACAUCUCUCGAAAGCACCCAAAGAGCCCCCCCCCCCCCCCCGCAUUAAAAUAGUCUAAAAUGCACCAUACUCCUCCCCCAAACUUCUUCUAGCCUCCAUACACAUUGAUUACAUAACAUCUUAUUCUUUGAACUCCUCGAUCCAAACAUACCCGCACAAAACCUUCAGCAGCAAACGUGAAAUUUAAUCUAGAAUUGACUUUAUUCCACAAAAAUAGGAUACAUCCACUAUUUCCUUCCGACGGAGGAAAGGACCGCUCACAAUCCUCGCUCCCCCAUAAAUUAUAGCAAAAAUUAGGUGUAAUAACCUUCAUCUUCGUUUCUCGAAGAGCCAAAAAAUAAACUUUAUGAACCCUCACCAACUCUCUAACUUUAUUCCUCUUCAAAACACCCCCAAUCCUCUUAUAUUGAAAGUUGUAAUAAUCAUUGGUCAUCAUUUUCCAUCUACCUAAUUACCUUAUGCUUCACAGUAAUCUCUUCCAUAAUGUACUCCUAACAGUUUGUUUGCAAGAUUUUCACACCACUGAUUUACCAAAUAAUUAAACUUCCUAAUUACCCUUGCAUUUAACCAACACCAGUCUUGAAUUUUAACCUCCUCAACGAUGCUCUUCAAAUUAUGAUAAAUGUAUGCAGUAAGUAACCAGUCACAACCACUUCAAUAUCUCUUCAUGACAACCUCUAACACAAACUUAAGACAAACAAUGACAUCCUCUCACAACUCAGUUUCAAUUCUCUGUGAAAAUGUUCAUCCGCAAAACAAAUAAAAUUCAGUUCGUCUUUACUGAUUCGAUUCUUAUACUUAUUACACAUACAUACAUCAACAACACAAUGAAAAUUCAACCUAAAAGCUGACUCGGAUAAUCAUAAGUCUGAUACUAAGCACGAUAAAAUUGCACGAACUUUUGGGAAAAUGGAGACCAAAUGAGCCAUUUAGCAAAACACUCUGGACUCUUGAAGCAUUCAUUCUUUGCCUGCAGUAUCUUAGAUUUCACCCUGGACAUCUACAAUAAAUGGAAACGGGGUAUUUUUGGAAAUUUUGCAGGGCGCACGAGAAGGCAGCAGGGUGGGAAAAGUAAUAGUCUUAUAUAAAUGGGUUAGAGUGGGUCGGCUAACUUGAUUUAUGGGCUACUAAAAAUGAGCCCAGUCCAAUGGGGAAGCCCGAUCCAUAUUUCAAAAUGUAUUAUUUUAUUUUAUUUUCAAAAAAAUAAGAGCAAUGAAUAAUAAAGCUACAUAUCUAAUCUUUUUUUAAUAGAAACAUAUCACAUAAGUUAUCACCCAUCAAA